UACGGAGGGUGCAAACGUUGCUCGGAAUCAUUGGGCGUAAAGCGCACGUAGGCGGACUGCUAAGUCGGACGUGAAAUCCCUCAGCUUAACUGAGGAAGUGCAUUCGAAACUAGCAGUCUUGAGUACAGGAGAGGGUCGCGGAAUUCCCGGUGUAGAGGUGAAAUUCGUAGAUAUCGGGAGGAACACCAGUGGCGAAGGCGGCGGCCUGGACUGAUACUGACGCUGAGGUGCGAAAGCGUGGGGAGCAAACAGG
rnacentral:rRNA from 1 species